rnacentral:lncRNA from 1 species
GGCGUAGUCUGCGCGGGGACUGGCGGGACUGCGCGGAGGCGACUACAGGCAUGGCGGUCUGGGUCCUGUCGCGCCUGCUGAGCGCUCCGCGCCUGGCGCUGGCCAAGGCGGUCCUGAGGCACGUGAAUGGCCAGGAUCAGAUUGUGCCCGGCCUGUACGCCUGUGGGGAGGCCGCCUGUGCCUCGGUACAUGGUGCCAAUCGGCUCGGGGCAAACUCGCUCUUGGACUUGGUUGUCUUUGGUCAGGCAUGUGCCCUGAGCAUCGAAGAGUCAUGCAGGCCUGGAGAUAAAGUCCCUCCAAUUAAACCAAACGCUGGGGAAGAAUCUGUCAUGAAUCUUGACAAAUUGAGAUUUGCUGAUGGAAGCAUAAGAACAUGAGAACUGCGACUCAGCAUGCAGAAGUGCUGCGAUAAAUACACAAGGCUGCACCAGAAUCUGGAGGUAAACAGCGGUAGGACGUACUCCUCACCGUAUCAAGAAUAUGAAAGAGACCAGGAGGCCUGAACUAUACAGAAGUGCACUUCUUUUCCACAUAGAAGGUCAGCAGACUAGGGCAGAAUUAGUGACUGCUUGGCAUCCAGGACAGCCUUCUGUGGUUCACUCGUGUGUGCUUGGGUGUGACCUCCGUGACCUGACCGUCGAUGGCUGUCAUGGAUGAGUCACAGCGUGGAGGAGAGGGAACCGCAGGACCGCCGGAGAAGCUCAGUCCCCAGCAGGGCAGCUUUCUCUUAGAGGUUUCCUGGAGUUCAACACAACACUGGUGCUUACAUCUCAGGCCCGGAUAUUGAUCAUGUCAUCAUGCCUGGCUUCCAGCAGCUUGGAAAUGUCUUUAAGCUGGACCUGUUGCUGGCCCUAAAUAUACUCGGAAGAGAGGGAGAGUGGGCGGCGGGUGGAAACUGAUCUGUGGCCUGUGCGCUGGGAGUCGGUCCAGUAGGACCAUCUGUGAUGAUGGAAAUGUUCCGAGUGUUUGCCAUCCAGUAUGGCAGCCAUUAGCCAUGGGGCCGUGGAGAACCUGAUAUAUAGUCAGUCUAAGAAACUGAAUUCCUCUAAUAACAAGGAUUCUUGUCCAUGAAUGAGA